GUCCACGCCCUAAACGAUGUCAACUAGGUGUUGGGAGGGUAAAACCUUUUAGUACCGUAGCUAACGCGAGAAGUUGACCGCCUGGGGAGUACGGCCGCAAGGUUAAAACUCAAAGGAAUUGACGGGGACCCGCACAAAGCGGUGGAUGAUGUGGAUUAAUUCGAUGCAACGCGAAAACCUUACCUACCCUUGACAUGUCAGGAACUUGCCAGAGAUGGCUUGGUGCCCGAAAGGGAACCUGAACACAGGUGCUGCAUGGCUGUCGU
rnacentral:rRNA from 1 species